AUGGGAUUGAUGAUGUUUCUCCAUUUCUGGAAAAGUGUCAAGUGAUGACUUGAUCUCUCCUUCCUCUGUCGCAGGCAAAUUCCAUACAUAAAAGAGUGCCGAGAAAUUAUAGAUAAUUGAAGAAUGCAUUAAUGUUACUUUUAUGUAUAAACUGCUUCCUAUAUGAUCAAACAUUUUGUCAGUUGCUUAUAAACUAUAUACAUGACUGUCAAACAGCUUGAGCAUCCUUUUUAGAUCUAGAUGAGCUCCCAUUUGAUAUGUUCAUUUUGCAUUUCCAAAUUACAUGUUCAAAAUCCUAUGACAUAUCGUUAUGAGAAAAGUCCAAUCAAUGAAUCAAUUGUACGUACUAUAUAGGCAG
rnacentral:lncRNA from 1 species